rnacentral:rRNA from 1 species
UAACCGUUCUCAGUUCGGAUUNCAGUCUNCAACUCGACUGCAUGAAGCUGGAAUCNCUAGUAAUCGCUGAUCACCAAGCAGCGGUGAAUACGUCCCCGGGCGUUGUACCCACCGCCCGUCACAUCACGAAAGCCAGUUGUACUAGAAGCCGGCAAUUCAACCGCAAGGAGAUACCCGUCCAAGGUAUGACUGGUGAUUGGGGUGAAGUCGUAACAAGUUAGCC